rnacentral:rRNA from 1 species
GAUCUCAAAUCAGGUAGGAC